UGAGGUAUAGCCAAAUUUCUAAGGUGACAGAUUCUGACUCUGGAGAGUGCAGGUUCGAGUUUUGUUGUCUUAACCA
rnacentral:tRNA from 1 species